rnacentral:rRNA from 1 species
UACGUAGGGUGCAGGCGUUAAUCGGAAUUACUGGGCGUAAAGGGUGCGUAGGCGGGUCUUUAAGUCAGGGGUGAAAUCCUGGAGCUCAACUCCAGAACUGCCUUUGAUACUGAGGAUCUUGAGUCCGGGAGAGGUGAGUGGAACUGCGAGUGUAGAGGUGAAAUUCGUAGAUAUUCGCAAGAACACCAGUGGCGAAGGCGGCUCACUGGCCCGAUACUGACGCUGAGGCACGAAAGCGUGGGGAGCAAACAGG